rnacentral:rRNA from 1 species
GAUGAACGCUGGCGGCGUGCCUAAUACAUGCAAGUCGAGCGAACAGAUAAGGAGCUUGCUCCUUUGACGUUAGCGGCGGACGGGUGAGUAACACGUGGGUAGCCUACCUAUAAGACUGGAAUAACUCCGGGAAACCGGGGCUAAUGCCGGAUAACAUUUAGAACCGCAUGGUUCUAAAGUGAAAGAUGGUUUUGCUAUCACUUAUAGAUGGACCCGCGCCGUAUUAGCUAGUUGGUAAGGUAACGGCUUACCAAGGCAACGAUACGUAGCCGACCUGAGAGGGUGAGCGGCCACACUGGAACUGAGACACGGUCCAGACUCCUACGGGAGGCAGCAGUAGGGAAUCUUCCGCAAUGGGCGAAAGCCUGACGGAGCAACGCCGCGUGAGUGAUGAAGGUCUUCGGAUCGUAAAACUCUGUUAUUAGGGAAGAACAAAUGUGUAAGUAACUGUGCACGUCUUGACGGUACCUAAUCAGAAAGCCACGGCUAACUACGUGC